rnacentral:rRNA from 1 species
UACGUAGGGGGCUAGCGUUGUCCGGAAUCAUUGGGCGUAAAGCGCGUGUAGGCGGUCCGGUAAGUCCGCUGUGAAAGUCGGGGGCUCAACCUCGGAUGCCGGUGGAUACUGUCGGGCUUGAGUACGGAAGAGGCGAGUGGAAUUCCUGGUGUAGCGGUGAAAUGCGCAGAGUAUCAGGAGGAACACCAAUUGCGAAGGCAGACUCGCUGG